rnacentral:rRNA from 1 species
UACGUAGGGCGCAAGCGUUUGUCCGGAAUUAUUGAGCGUAAAGAGCUCGUAGGCGGCUUGUCACGUCGGAUGUGAAAGCCCGAGGCUUAACCUCGGGUCUGCAUUCGAUACGGGCUAGCUAGAGUGUGGUAGGGGAGAUCGGAAUUCCUGGUGUAGCGGUGAAAUGCGCAGAUAUCAGGAGGAACACCGGUGGCGAAGGCGGAUCUCUGGGCCAUUACUGACGCUGAGGAGCGAAAGCGUGGGGAUCAAACAGG